rnacentral:rRNA from 1 species
AUGCAGUCGAACGGCAGCACGGGGGCAACCCUGGUGGCGAGUGGCGAACGGGUGAGUAAUAUAUCGGAACGUGCCCUGGAGUGGGGGAUAACGCAGCGAAAGUUGCGCUAAUACCGCAUACGAUCUACGGAUGAAAGUGGGGGAUUCGCAAGRACCUCAUGCUCGUGGAGCGGCCGAUAUCUGAUUAGCUAGUUGGUAGGGUAAAAGCCUACCAAGGCAUCGAUCAGUAGCUGGUCUGAGAGGACGACCAGCCACACUGGAACUGAGACACGGUCCAGACUCCUACGGGAGGCAGCAGUGGGGAAUUUUGGACAAUGGGGGCAACCCUGAUCCAGCAAUGCCGCGUGAGUGAAGAAGGCCUUCGGGUUGUAAAGCUCUUUUGUCGGGGAAGAAACGGUWYRKCYUAAUACGMUGKRCUAAUGACGGUACCCGAAGAAUAAGCACCGGCUAACUACGUGCCAGCAGCCGCGGUAAUACGUAGGGUGCAAGCGUUAAUCGGAAUUACUGGGCGUAAAGCGUGCGCAGGCGGUUAUGUAAGACAGAUGUGAAAUGCCCGGGCUCAACCUGGGAACUGCAUUUGUGACUGCAUGGCUAGAGUGUGUCAGAGGGGGGUAGAAUUCCACGUGUAGCAGUGAAAUGCGUAGAGAUGUGGAGGAAUACCGAUGGCGAAGGCAGCCCCCUGGGAUAACACUGACGCUCAUGCACGAAAGCGUGGGGAGCAAACAGGAUUAGAUACCCUGGUAGUCCACGCCCUAAACGAUGUCUACUAGUUGUCGGGUCUUAAUUGACUUGGUAACGCAGCUAACGCGUGAAGUAGACCGCCUGGGGAGUACGGUCGCAAGAUUAAAACUCAAAGGAAUUGACGGGG